AGUGGUGAUAGCGGAGGGGAAACACCCGUUCCCAUCCCGAACACGGAAGUUAAGCCCUCCAACGCCGAUGGUAGUUGGGGCCAGCGCCCCUGCAAGAGUAGGUCGCUGCUAGGC
rnacentral:rRNA from 1 species